CAGCAGCAGCCGCGGGAAUACGAAGGGUGCAAGCGUUAAUCGGAAUUACUGGGCGUAAAGCGUGCGUAGGCGGUGAGUUAAGUCUGCUGUGAAAUCCCCGGGCUCAACCUGGGAAUGGCAGUGGAUACUGGCUCGCUAGAGUGUGUCAGAGGAUGGUGGAAUUCCCGGUGUGGCGGUGAAAUGCGUAGAGAUCGGGAGGAACAUCAGUGGCGAAGGCGGCCAUCUGGGACAACACUGACGCUCAUGCACGAAAGCGUGGGGAGCAAACAGGAUUAGAUACCCCUGUAGUCCCUGUCUCUUAUAC
rnacentral:rRNA from 1 species